UACGUAGGGGGGCGAGCGUUGUCCGGAGUACUGGGCGUAAAGCGCACGCAGGGCGUCUGCUAAGUUUUGGAGUGACAGUUGGUGGCUUAACUGCCAAAGUGCUUCGAAAACUGACAGACUUGAGGGCUUCAGAGGGACACGGAAUUCCGGGUGGAGUGGUGAAAUGCGCAGAUAUCAGGAGGAACACCGGUGGCGAAGGCGGGUCUCUGGGGCCGAUACUGACACUGAGGAGCGAAAAGCGUGGGGGAGCGAACAGGA
rnacentral:rRNA from 1 species